rnacentral:rRNA from 1 species
CGAAUGCUGACAUAAGUAACGAUAAAGCGGGUGAAAAGCCCGCUCGCCGGAAGACCAAGGGUUCCUGUCCAACGUUAAUCGGGGCAGGGUGAGUCGACCCCUAAGGCGAGGCCGAAAGGCGUAGUCGAUGGGAAACAGGUUAAUAUUCCUGUACUUGGUGUUACUGCGAAGGGGGGACGGAGAAGGCUAUGUUGGCCGGGCGACGGUUGUCCCGGUUUAAGCGUGUAGGCUGGUUUUCCAGGCAAAUCCGGAAAAUCAAGGCUGAGGCGUGAUGACGAGGCACUACGGUGCUGAAGCAACAAAUGCCCUGCUUCCAGGAAAAGCCUCUAAGCAUCAGGUAACAUCAAAUCGUACCCCAAACCGACACAGGUGGUCAGGU